rnacentral:rRNA from 1 species
AUGGCUGGAGAGGAUGUCGACCGCAAGUCCAGUGCUUCCGUUGCUGCUGUCCCGUAUGUGUUCUUCUUCUUUCUGUCAGAUGUCCUGCCACAGUUUCUCAUACUAGUUCUUGCCCUACAUGUGUUAGGUUCUACUCCAUAUAUGCAACAUGAUCUAGUGUCUGUCCUAGAUGUGUUCAGUUCAAGUUCAUAUAUGCAGAUGCUAUUUACUUUCUCUCCGUCAGAUUGCAUGACUUGCUUUAUCACAGCUAUAUUAGUCAUGCUUUAUCUAAUAUUUCUGUUAAUAAAAUCAUUUGGUAAAUUGCUCAUAUUUCCAACAAUUCAAAAACCUUAUUAUAGGUAA